AUAAAAAUCGUCAACCAAUAGAAAUCGUACACACUGCUAAGCCAAUACAAAUCGAACAUGUUAUAAACUUACAAACGCUAUCACUUGCUUACCAAAAGUACCGGCAUAUGUUACGUUCCAUUGGUCCAGCUAAUACACAACAAGAUCUAGGAAUAUUACACAAACAACACAAAGACAAGAAGGAUGAACAUCUUGCUUUACCUGCUCUUGAAAGUGAUUGUUGUAGUGCUAAUUAUGUCACAGAAAGUAGCUUGCUAUUUGCGUUUUGGUCGUGCUGCUGACGCAAUCGGGGGUGGCGAAUUGCUGAAAAGUAACCAAACUGGAGAAUAUCCGCGAAUUUAAAAUGUUGUAAUAAACACUGAGC